UCUCUAAUAUCUUAAGAAAUGGUAAAUCAAUGUUCCAUUUGACAAAUUCUUACGGAUCUGUCCCUAAAAGCAAGCGAUAAAAAAUUCUCAAGAUAAAAUGUAUUAGAAUAACAUAACACUAAUAUGUAUUCAGAAUUUUAGAUUUGUGAUGUCAUUCUGUUACAACUUAUGACUAAAAUCUUUCAUUGCGUGGUCAGAGACUAUUUACGAAACUAAAAAACUUUUUUUUAAUCAAUUUUUUUUUUUUUUAGUCUGGAAAAAUCCACAUCAGUGAGCCGAGUAACAAGCUCCUUACCGGGCAUGGAUUUUCAACAGUCACAAGAGGACCAAUGAAAAUAAAGGGUAAAGGAGAAAUGAAUACAUUUUGGCUUCUCGGUUUUAAAAAAGAAGAAAAUCAAUGUCAGGGUGGAACUUAACCUUCAUUUUUUGUUUCCAUCAUCUCAUCACAGCAGUUGUAGUGCAUAUGAGUUGCCUGUAUGCAAAACCUGUAAUCUGCCUUUUGCAAAUGUAAUGGAAAUAACGAGAUAAAAAUCCGUUUUGCCAGGCUUGCCAAUUAGGAUUUUCUUUUCUGGAAUAGAAUUAUUAAGUUAAUGAAAAGUGAAACAGCAAUAUAUACUAUAAACUAAAUGAGGGCCGUGGUAGGUAGCCCAGCGGUUGGAGAAUCGGACCAAAGGGCCCGAAGUUCGUAUCAUCCUCAGUGAUGCUUUCCAGACCGUCACCAAUAGCCCAUUGUGUUGAACUUAAAUAAAGUACCUACCUUCCAAAUUAAAGAAAACUCUCGAAUCCUUGAAUAAGGAUUAGAGUAUAUAUUUAGGUCACCCCUGGUGAAAAAAAGAGGUGUAGCUUAGAAGUUUUGCAUAUGGGCGACUUAACAUAAAUAUAAUUGCUCUGUAUGUCAUUAAGUUAUUUCAUUUCUAACAAUAAAUUUUAUAGAUAGUU